rnacentral:lncRNA from 1 species
ACACAGAUUGAUGGGACUAUUAAACAGUGAAUAAUUGUCGCAGACAUUAAAAUGUUAUAGAUAUACUUAAAAUAACCUUACUAUUGAUCUUUAUUUCACUUAUUGUCUAGUUUACAUAUAAAUAAUCUAUAUAGAAAUAUACUUGUAAGUAAUAUCAUUUAUUUCUUCAAACAGAAGUCAGUGAAAGGACAGGAUACGACAAACCUACCUUUAAACAAUCAACAGAUGCCAAAAACACAAUAAUUCUUGCAGUGUCUUGUGUUCUUGGGUUUGCCGUGUUUGCUGUGUUGAUUAUGACCAUGGAAUUAUGCUGUAGAAGGAAUGCAUGUCGCUUGAACAAGAUGAAAUUAGUUCAAGAACUAGAAGAUGUGGAGUUAGCGGAAAUAACUAAUACACAACAAAGAGAAAAUAAUGAGGCCAAACCAUUGAUCGAAGAUGUAACACAGGCAAACAGCGGUGCAGGUCCUCAUGAUUACUGAAGAACGAGGCAAUAAACAGCACGCAGAUGAAAUAAUGAUCCUAUAUUAGUGGGUGUCAGGGUUUUGUUUUUGUUGAAAGUAUUUUUUAUUUGUUUUUUUUUAACUUUGCCCAUUUUUCCGUUUAAACUAAUGGUAGCAUUAAUUUAACUUUGAAACAGUCUCACUUAAGCAGGUCAACUGUCUUUUUUCUGUAUUUGGAAGACAUGUUUUUCUGUUCUCUCGAUUUUUAUUCAAAAAGAUAAAGUAGGCAUUCUCACGACUUUUAGAGGAAGCAUUCUUUGUUCUUGGUACAAUUACGUCUAUGAGUUUAAAUAAAAACAAUGGCAGCCAGUAGAAAAU